AAAGUGAUAGUGUGCAGCCAAGGAUGACUUGCCGAUUCCCUCUUUGUAUUGUUUUUCAGUACAAUUUUAUGCAAUCGGCAAGUUGUUCUUGGCUACAUGCUUCUUUCU
rfam:Corchorus olitorius cultivar O-4 contig22520, whole genome shotgun sequence.